UACGAAGGUGGCAAGCGUUGUUCGGAUUUACUGGGCGUACAGGGAGCGUAGGCGGUUGGAUAAGCCCUCCGUGAAAUCUCCAGGCUUAACCUGGAAAGUGCAGAGGGGACUGUUCAGCUAGAGGAUGGGAGAGGAGCGCGGAAUUCCCGGUGUAGCGGUGAAAUGCGUAGAGAUCGGGAGGAAGGCCGGUGGUGAAGGCGGCGCUCUGGAACAUUUCUGACGCUGAGGCUCGAAAGCGUGGGGAGCAAACAGG
rnacentral:rRNA from 1 species